rnacentral:misc_RNA from 1 species
GUUCAAAGGAAGGGAACAUUUCCCGCCAUUUCUUCCUCUCAGCCUCCGACCCAUCUCUAAACCCAACACUCUUUCCCUUUCUGCACUCUAUUUCUCUCUCCUCCCUGCAAAACCCUAGCAAAGCCCCUGUCUCGACUGGCCCUACCCACAAUGGCAGAUACUCCGAGGAAACCCCUCCGAUCCCCAUCAAAGAAACCCAAGCAAACUUCUUCUUCCUCAAUCUCUCUCACCCCUCAAACCCCACAAGCUGUUGACCCUCCUCGCCGAUCGUCUCGUCGAUUAUCUCUUAAACUUGAUCAGAUAACCACUCCGCAAAAGCCCAUUUCACAACUGGAAAAACCCAACAAGGAUUCGUUGGUUGAAGAAUUAGAAACCCCUCAUAAAUUGGUUAAGGAUUCUUCAAGAACCCGAAGAAAUUCGAGGAAAAAUGAAUCCACGAAGAACCCAGAAAGCAAGACAGAUUAUGAAUCGGCCAACACGCCAAAAUCGAGGACUAAAGUGGUCGAGGUUGAGGUUUCAUUCUCUCCCGCUUCACCAGAUCAACUGGAGACCAAGAAGAGGAAACGGCGUGAAGACAAAGACAGAAAGGUGAUAACAAGAGCAAUGGCAUCUAAGAAUGCAAAGAGUGAACAGAAGAGCAAUAAGAAGAGGGUUUAUUAUAAGAAAGUGGUGUAUGAUGGUGGUGAAUUUGAAGUAGGAGAUGAUGUGUAUGUGAAGAGGAGAGAGGAUGCCAGCUCCGAUGAUGAUCUCCCCGAAGUAGAGGAGUGUAGAGUGUGCUUCAAAGCUGGGAAAGCGGUAAUGGUUGAAUGCGAUGAUUGUUUAGGUGGUUUUCAUUUGAAGUGCUUGAAGCCUCCUCUGAAGGAAGUCCCAGAAGGGGAUUGGAUUUGCGGGUUCUGCAAGGCCAGAAAAUUGGGUAUGGAAGUUGAGUUGCCAACGCCGGCUAAGGGGAAAAGGCGUGCUCGAACUUUGAGGGAGAAGCUUCUUUCUAGUGACUUAUGGGCUGCUCAUAUUGAAAGUACAUGGAAGGAGAUGGAUGGUAGUUAUUGGUUUAAGGGGCGAUGGUAUAUGAUUCCAGAAGAGACUACUGCUGGAAGACAGCCUCAUAAUUUGAGGAGGGAGCUUUAUAGAACAAAUGAUUUUGCUGACAUUGAGAUGGAAUCUAUCAUUCGGCAUUGCUUUGUUUUGAAUCCCAAGGAAUAUGCAAAGGCAAGUAAUGCAGGGGAUGAUGUUUUCUUGUGUGAAUAUGAAUAUGACAUUCAUUGGCACACUUUCAAACGACUAGCUGAGAUUGAUAAUGAAGAAGAGGAUGGUGAAGAUGCUGACAGUGAUGAAGAUUGGAUUUCUUCCAAAGAUGCAGAAUCUGGUACAGAUGAAGACAUCGAGUAUGAAAACGAAAAUGUGAAGAACUUGUGUGCCAGAACAUCCUCAGCUCAUGGACUGGCUGCUAACUCUCGGAAGGGCCAGUUCUUUGGACUUCAGAAGAUAGGGACAAAGAGAAUCCCAGAACAUGUGCGAUGCCAUAAGAAAACUGAACUGGAGAAAGCAAAAGCAACACUUCUGUUGGCCAUACUGCCCAAGUCUCUACCUUGUAGGAAUAAAGAAAUGGAAGAGAUAACUGCAUUUAUAAAAGGUGCCAUCUGUGAUGAUCAAUGUCUGGGUCGCUGCCUUUAUGUUCAUGGUGUUCCUGGAACUGGCAAGACAAUGAGUGUACUUGCAGUAAUGAGGAACCUAAGGUAUGAAGUUGAUGCAGGAAGUAUACAACCAUACUGUUUUGUGGAGGUUAAUGGUCUAAAGUUAGCAUCACCAGAGAAUAUUUACAGGGUUAUAUAUGAAGCAUUAAGUGGAAAUAGGGUCAGCUGGAAAAAGGCUCUCCAUUUGUUGAAUGAGCGAUUUUCGAAUGGAAAGAAAGUGGCCAGAGGAGAUGACCGACCUUGUAUUCUGCUUAUUGAUGAACUUGACCUGCUUGUAACCCGAAAUCAGUCGGUUCUAUACAAUAUUCUUGACUGGCCUACUAAGCCACAUUCGAAAUUGAUUGUCAUAGGAAUUGCAAAUACUAUGGAUCUUCCAGAAAAGUUACUUCCUCGUAUUUCGAGCCGUAUGGGUAUUCAAAGGCUUUGCUUUGGACCCUAUAAUUAUCAACAGCUUCAGGAAAUCAUUUCAAGUCGCCUCAAAGGAAUUGAUGCAUUUGAAAAGCAAGCUAUAGAAUUCGCUUCAAGGAAGGUAGCAGCUAUUUCAGGAGAUGCACGUCGUGCUCUGGAGAUAUGCAGGCGUGCAGCAGAAAUUGCUGACUAUUGUCUUAAGAAAUCAAGUUCAAAUCUCGAUUCAACUCCUGCAGGAAAAGGCCUUGUUGGUAUGUCAGAGGUUGAGGCAGCUAUUCAGGAAAUGUUUCAAGCACCACAUAUUCAAGUGAUGAAAAAUUGUUCUAAACUCAGCAAAAUUUUCUUGACAGCUAUGGUGUAUGAGCUCUAUAAAACGGGGAUGAGUGACACAACCUUUGAAAAGUUGGCAAUUACUGUUUCAUGUCUCUGUACAAGCAAUGGGGAAGCAUUUCCUGGUUGGGAUACUCUCUUAAAAGUUGGAUGCAUGCUAGGUGAAAGCAGAAUAAUUCUGUGUGAACCUGGAGCUAGGCACAGGUUGCAGAAGUUGCAGCUCAAUUUUCCAAGCGAUGAUGUGGCCUUUGCACUGAAAGGCAACAAGGAUCUACCUUGGUUGGCCAAGUAUUUAUGAUUUGAGAACAAAGAAAGCUGCAAUCCCUUCUUCAUUUAUAUGAACAUUUUUUACCUUCAAUUUCUCAUAUUCUCAAAUUUUCAUUCCUUUCAAUACAUGUUUACUGCAACUCCGGCAACAUAGAACUGUAUUUCCUUUUGGUUUUCAUCCCCGGCGACAAACUGUAUUUUAUUCUGAGACAUUGCAAAAGAAAAUGUCACAGAAAUCGAGGAGCGUCAGUAUACUCUAUUGCUAUGAAUAUGUCAUUGUCGUUGUAUUUUUGCACUUUAUAGUUGUGUUGUAAGGCAGAGUAGACCCCGGCACCCAGGGUCCAAAAUUGAAUGAAUUGAAUUGAUUUAAUAUGAAA